rnacentral:rRNA from 1 species
UACGAACUGUGCAAACGUUAUUCGGAUUCACUGGGCUUAAAGGGUGCGUAGGCGGCUUGUUAAGUCAGGGGUGAAAUCCCACGGCCCAACCGUGGAACUGCCUUUGAUACUGGCGAGCUUGAGUGCGUGAGGGGUAACCGGAACGAGUAGUGUAGCGGUGAAAUGCGUAGAUAUUACUCGGAAGGCCAAAGGCGAAGGCAGGUUACUGGUACGCAACUGACGCUGAGGCACGAAAGCGUGGGGAGCAAACAGG